rnacentral:sRNA from 1 species
GGAGACUCCAAACAGUGAGCCUAGAGCUGGAGACUAGCGUUAACCGGCGGGGCGGCCGGUUUUAUGAAUGAAGCUAUGGCUACAGAUUCCCCAAGAAGACCCAGUCGUUGUACUGGUGGAGUUGUGGUUCGCCCCCAGGCUGUCACAGAGCAGUCCUACAUGGAAAGUGUUGUGACUUUUCUGCAGGAUGUUGUGCCACAGGCUUACAGUGGAACACCUCUAACAGAAGAAAAGGAGAAAAUAGUCUGGGUCAGAUUUGAAAAUGCAGAUUUAAAUGAUACAUCAAGAAAUCUGGAAUUUCAUGAAAUACAUAGCACUGGGAAUGAACCUCCUUUGUUGAUUAUGAUUGGCUACAGUGAUGGAAUGCAGGUCUGGAGCAUCCCUGCUGGAAUGCAGUGGUGCAAUCUCAGCUCAUUGCAACCUCCACCUCCCAGGUUCAAGCGAUUCUCCUGCCUCAGCCUCCUGAGUAGCUGAGAUUACAGGCUGUGUCACCACACCCAGAUCAGUGGCGAAGCACAAGAGCUCU